UACGGAGGGUGCGAGCGUUGUCCGGAAUCACUGGGCGUAAAGGGCGCGUAGGCGGCAGGCCAAGCGUGUGGUGAAAGCCCGGGGCUCAACCCCGGGUCGGCCAUGCGGACUGGCGUGCUUGAGCACUGUAGGGGCGGUGGAAUUCCGGGUGUAGCGGUGGAAUGCGUAGAGAUCCGGAAGAACACCGGUGGCGAAGGCGGCCCGCUGGGCAGGAAGAUGGAGCGAUCCAUCGGCUGACGCUGAGGCGCGACAGCGUGGGGAGCGAACAGG
rnacentral:rRNA from 1 species